rnacentral:rRNA from 1 species
CUGGGUUUUAAAGCGCGCGUAGGCGGUCUUUUAAGUCAGAUGUGAAAGCCCCGGGGGCUUAACCCCCGGAAGUGCAUUUGAAACUAAGGGACUUUGAGUAUGGGAGAGGGAAGUGGAAUUCCUGGUGUAGAGGUGAAAAUUCGUAGAUAUCAGGAGGAACACCGGUGGCGAAGGCGACUUCCUGGACCAAUACUGACGCUGAGGCGCGAAGGCGUGGGGGAGCAAACAGGAUUUAGAUACCCCUUUG